GUGAUAGUUAGUGGACCCGAUAUCCGAUCCAGUAAUUUAGAACUUGUUGGUGUGGAAACACACAUGAUGAGGAUGAUGGGAUGAAGCUAACGAGACCAGUGCAGCUCUGCUUAGAGCCUGUGUGACAACACCUUACUUGUCCAGAUUUUCAGGUGUUAAAUGUGCAAAUGAUUCACAUAAAACCAUCUGGAUAUCUUUUUUUUUUAAAACCAGAACCAUAGAAGAACAAAGUAUGUCACACCUGAAGAUGUUGCUAUGCCAGGUUGUGAACAUGCCAUUUCAGAUGGGGUUUUUUGUUGUUGUUGCCCUGUUCUUUAAAAUGUUGUUUUCUAUUUAUGAUAUAUUCAAAGGAUAUGAUAUAUUCAAUAGGAUCCACCGAGAAAUAUUGCAGCCUAUAGAAAUUCACAGCAACAGGUAUUGAAUCCCAAUAAUCAGACCCCUAUGAACAGCACAUGGGGACUGCAGGGAUUCCCUUUGUCUCUUUAGAUUAAUCAAUGAAAGAUUUUUAAAACACUUAAUUACAGAGUUGUUCCUUUCAGUAACUUCAUAAGGCAUUAUUACCCCCCACCCCCACAGCUGUUUAAAAAAUAAAUAAAUAUUGGAGUAUUUUCAACACCCUGCUGGACACCAAGUUUGUGAAUGGUGUUACUCGAGAUUGAGGCAGCGCAGGAGUUUGAAAUUGAUAAUCUAGGUGCAACUAUUAAAAAUGUGAAUGUUUCAAGAGGGAAGUCACCUAGGAUUUUCAAAUACACGCAUAGGUGUAUCUAUUAAAAAUGUUGGACGAAUUUGAAUCCCAGUGCCCUUAACGUUGAGGUCAGAGGUUAGGUGUUGUCAAAAAAUGUCACCUUUACAAACUUCUGAGCUGUUCGAUUAGAUGAGAUACUAUACACUACCGGGUGUUCUAAAACACCACUGGUUUUACAACACCACAAUUUUUCAAUUUUUUUACUGAAAAUUAUGCAGUUUAAUGUCUCAUUGCACUCUGAAAUGAAAGCAUAGUACAAAUAAGUCAAAAAAGAAAUCAUGGAAUACAUUUAUAGACCCAAAUGUAUUCUAAACUUUGGUCUCAUCAAACUAGCCACCUUUGGCAGAUAUAACACUCCCGUUGCAUUCUCCCUACAAGAGAAAUAGUGGUGAUACAUAAAGAAUAUGAUGAUGGGAAACUCAACAUACAUGAAAGAAAGUCUCAUGCUGGUAACAAAUAUUGCCCCGGCCCAACACUCACAGCACCUGUUCCAGAUGUUAUUCAGCCUUCCUUUUUGCCUUUCCUUUCCUGACACAGCACCUGUGCAGGCAGAAACUGCAGGUCUUGAUGAAGAUGAAUAUGAUGAGUAGAUCUACGGUGAGGAAGAAGCCCAGGACAUCCAGGCUGUGAUACUGGUACCAGGUGAGCUCAUGGGCCUGGACCCUCAAGUGCUUGGCCCCUUUGUUUCUCAGUGUGAACUCGAUCCAGAA